UACGGAAGGCAGCAGUGGGGAAUAUUGCACAAUGGGCGAAAGCCUGAUGCAGCUAUGCCGCGUGUAUGAAGAAGGCCUUAGGGUUGUAAAGUACUUUCAUCGGGGAGGAAAAAAACAAAACUAAUAAUUUUAUUUCUUGACGUUACCCGAAAAAGAAGCACCGGCUAACUCCGUGCCAGCAGCCGCGGUAAUACGGAGGGUGCUAGCGUUAAUCAGAAUUACUGGGCGUAAAGAGCACGUAGGUGGUUUUUUAAGUCAGAUGUGAAAUCCCUGGGCUUAACCUAGGAACUGCAUUUUGAAACUGAAAUACUAGAGUAUCGUAGAGGGAGGUAGAAUUCUAGGUGUAGCGGUGAAAUGCGUAGAUAUCUGGAGGAAUACCUGUGGCGAAAGCGGCCUCCUAAACGAAUACUGACACUGAGGGUGCGAAAGCGUGGGGAGCAAACAGGGAUUAGAUACC
rnacentral:rRNA from 1 species